CGGCGAAUGCGAACUCGUAAGCGAAGGAUGACGACGCGGAGGGCCUAUUCUCCGCCCCACACUCUGCGCCCGCCUCCAACUAAGGUCUCUGCUCCCACCUCCAAGGUCCCUCCUCUCUCCGAUUCCCCGUAUCUAUGUUGCCCUAGUGAUUUGUCGCACGUCUUUUUUGAGAAAAAUCUGUACAUAUGGUUUCCAAAGUUCCAAUCUGGAUGGUUAAAAUGACGCUCACAGUUAAAAUUUUAGAAGUUUGACCCAAGACAUGUCCAAAACUCCACUUGUUUGUGAUAUGGAGAGAGUAAUAUGUGAACAUCAGUGCAUUCUAUCGGAUUCGUUGAUAGUAACCUUGUUUAUAUUAGUACUAACUUUGUACCUACAUUUGGGACGGAGGGAGUAUUUUUUUUUGCGAAUGAACCUUGUUUAUAUUAGUAAGUACGUACAAUUGCUUCAAAUCAGAAAUGAGAAUCCUCUGAUCUUCCAUAUCGCCAGUUUUGAGAGAUGGGCAGUGCAAUAUUCUACUGUAAUUUACAGCAAAUCCAGUGUCUAGGUAUGGUAGUAUUUCCACUAAUCUCAUGUCUUGUGGACCCAAUACAGUUUAUUCAGAAAUUAAAAAGGACAGACGCAAAUUAUUUUACAGUCACCUUUUUGCUUGUUUCCAACACACGGACACGGUCGUCAAGUUGUACAGUUGGACCAAUCAAAAGUUAUGAACUUUCAAAUCCCCAUCACAUCUGCUUCCAAGAUAGUUCCUGAUGCUCACUUGACAAAAGAACAUCUUACAGUAAAAAGCAGUUGGUGCACUUGAAAAACUGUUUGAAUCUUACUGAUCAUCGUAUGUUUCAUUAGGCUUCCAUUUAGAUAUAGCAUAAAGUACUCUCCCUUUCCAUCCUUGUAGCAGCCAACCGCGAUCUUCAACAGCAAAGAAUUCCUUGUGAUAAUGUGAGUUGUUCAUGUGUACUCUUUUCAAGAAGGCUGGAUCCACAGGAAGCUGCUGGAACCCAGCCUUGAGAAAUCUUGCUUGCCACUGCCUGUAACUUUCUGGCCUCUCAGUUCUGUCUGCGCCCUCACAUGCUAUGAUAUUAAGUGCAUCUGUCCCAAAUCGGAUCCUCUCAAUCAUCUUUCUUGCCUUAUUAUCCCGUGGAACAUUUGCAUCAAGCAUAUCAAACAUUGGAGAGUAAUGGAGCAUAACCUCUUUGAAUCGUUGUAUGAAGAAGGGAGAACUGUGUAACCCAUUCAUUGUGCCAGAAAUAAAAAUCUUUGGGUUCAUCCUCCUCAUAGUUUUCAUUACCUCAUCCCUUGCGCUAUUUAUUCCUGCGGUUUCAUGACCAAGAUUCUUCAUCCGGAAUAUGCAGUUGAUUAUGAGAACUUCAUCCUCGUCAAUGUUAAGAUCCUCAAUUUUGAUGGUCUCCCAUCUUGAAGCUGCAAUGCCCUGAUACUGAAAAGGUACCUUGAACAUGUUUGCAUAAUCAGCCAACCGCUUCCCUGUCUCCUCAAUCAUUUCGCAGGGGUGUAAACCUGGCUGGGGAAUGUCUAUACCUGUGAUCCGAAGCUUAGGGGCUCCCUCUUCUUGCUGUGAAAACCUCUGAAUCAUUAAUGGCCACUGAAGGCCGAAGCCGAUACCGAAAUCAACGAUGUGCACCCUUGGUUGCCCUUGUGAAACACCAAGAAUUGCUUGGCUGGCAAAGUAGUGUGACGUCCUGUCGAAAGGGCAGGAUGCAUGAAAAAGACUGUACGCAACUAACCAAUCUGUUCUACUUGUUCGCCUCUCCAUGAGGUUGCGAUAAACCUGACCCCCAGUCCCAGCCAAGCGUGCCGCGAGGCCAUCUGCCAAGUAAAAUGCUAGUCUCUGAGUACAAUCACCAUCUGCUGAGGAGUGUUCUCUUAUCUUCUUUAGAAGUUCAUUGGCGAACAGGUGGUUGUCUUCUGCCACAGCUUGUGCGCACUGGAAGAGGAGAGCCCUGAUAUCAACGAACUCUUGCCUCUGUUGCUUCCUAGCCCAUAGCUUCUGACGCCCUUUGCUCCAGCCUUUCAGUGUGUUAUUGCUUCCUGUCUCUGCCAUCCUUUCCCGCAGUCUUCUUAUUUGGUCGGAACGACCAUAGCAUAGCAGAACUCGGUCGAAAUUUUCAUUUCGAAUUAUUGCACAAGUGGUGAUGGCAUGAUGUUUAUUGCUCCUUCCUUGAAAGAUACCCCAGCCCCUUUGGUCUGCCACCUCAAAGAUUGUGUUUUCACCCCUCUCUCCUACUUUUGCCUUCGUAGUCAGUUGGGAAAUAUGUAGUAUGUCAUUCUUGAAACAUAUCACCACGUUAUCAAUACUUGGAGCAAAUAUAUUUUCCUCGUCGACACUUCUCUGACGAUGCAAGUUAGGGAAGCCAGAUCCAGAAGUCCAUCCAACACUUAUCAAUGGCUGGUUUGGUUGAGAAAGACUCCUAUUGCAAAUAUCUGGACUCAACGGGGUUGUCAAGGGCUGUACCAAGCUGUAACUGGAACAGUCAUUACUGAAGCUAGUGCUCCAGAGCCUCUUGUAACAGCUGGUCCCACUCUUAUCAGGGCUGUCUUGUUUGUUGUUGCUAUACAAAGCCGGUGUGUAUACCUGUCCAAGAAUGUCACGGAAUGGCUGCUCAGUAGCCUGGAUAGCUGCCUCCCCUUGGCAUAUGUCGACCCUCUCGUCGACGUCUUCCAUUAGCAUCUGGCUUAUGUAGUGAAGAGCAUCGUUUGAUCUGAUCUGGCGGUGCUCAGGGCUACACCCUGCGCCGAUCUGAAAUUGGUUUUGUCCAAGGCUGCUGUUGACACUGCACAACCCAGGGCCAGUGACUCCACCGAGCAGAUCUGUGCUUGCUUGGUUGGCUGGGGAAAGAACUGUAGAGGGUGGACCACUCAGGUCAUAGUUGUACAUGGUGAGUUGCUGCUGGGAAGAGGAAUCACCAUCGUUUGGUUGGUCGGUUGGUGUGACGGUGUCCAGAUUGUCACGGAGAGGCUCAAUCGCCAUUGUGGAAAGUCUGAUUUCCACCUCAAUAUGAGAUAUAUGAUUCUUCUUUGUCCUACAGCAAAUGAACCAGCUUGCUUCCUGGAAGAAGGAAAAAGGGAAAUGGAAGCUAAAUUAUGUGAGAGGAAUUUCGGUUCAGCUUGCUCAUGUGCUACAAUCUAGAAUGUCUGUGAAACGGAUUUCUGCCCAGCGAGCUCCCUUUUUUUUUCCUUCACCUUAUGCUUCUUCCUUUUUAUUAGAGAUUCAGCUUAUGAUUGUUUUGGCAUGCCAUACUGAUCGAAAACUAAUUCCAAAGGCUUGCAGACACGAGAAUAACUACUUUACCCGGUUAAAUAUAGAAUCUAUGACGCGCUUAAUACCACUGCUCAGUUUUAUCUGCAGGAGGCUUCGCAAGUAGCAAAAGUAGGGAAUCACACACCUUGGUUAUUUAGCAGCAGCAGCAGCAGCAGAUCCAGUGCUCUGAGAAGAGUAGUGGGGAUGUGGGCUAUGAAAGAAUAGUAGUGAGCUUGUGGUGUUGAUGUGAACUAAAUUUGUCGUUCCUCUACCUUAUGCCUUUGUUCCCAACGUCAUAAGAUUGUGACAGAGAAUGGUCCAGAGUACAAGCAACUAUCCUGUCGAUUAGUUCUAGGCCCGGCUGCGCAUCAGAGGUAUAAAAAAGUGUUUAUUAGGAAUGCUUUCCUGGGUAUCAACAUUAUUAGGGUCCCUAAUUGAGUCGUUAAAAAAUUCUGAGGUAAUCGAAAGGAGAUGCACUAUUUGAAGAAAAUUUUCUUUCUUUCCCACUUGAUAGUUGAUAUAUUCUGAGAUGCACUAGUUGAUAUAUAUAAUGGUCUUGGUCGAAUUUUUUGAGGAUAGUUUGUUGUACUUCAUCUCAGUAAAAUAAUCAGAUUUUUUUUGGUUAUCUUAUUAGUUCAAAGUUGAAUUGUUGGUGCCUAGCUAGUCUGAGACUUAUGUUCUGCCGUACCUGGAGUAUUUUACCAAGGCUUGAGUGAUACAGUUGUACUAGUUGAUUAUUUUAAGAUGCACUAGCUGAUAUAUAUAAUGGUCUUGGUCGAAUUUUUCGAGGAUAGUUUGUUGUACUUCAUCUCAGUAAAAUAAUCAGAUUUUUUAUUAUCUUAUUAGUUGAAAGUUGAAUUGUUGGUGCUUAGCUAGUCUGACACUAUGUUCUGCCGUACCUGGAGUAUUUUACCAAGGCUUGAGUGAUACAGUUGUACCAAAUGUUUAAGGAGUGUAAAUGCCUCUGAAUUUUAUUUACAACAUCGACAGGAUUGUUAAUUAUUAUGUCAUGAAAAUGCACAUCCAGAUUCAAUCUGUAAUACUAGAAGAACAGGCCAAAAUAAAUACUAGAAGAAAAUAAAACAAAAAUCUGUUAAAAUUUUGGACGUAAUUGAAAGAAAAAAGGAGGCACUAUUCAAAAAACUUGUAUUUUUUUUCAUUUGGUAGUUGAUAUAUAUAAUGGUUGAAUUUUUGGAGUGUAGUUUGUUGUACUUUAGUAUCUCAUUAAACCAUCAGUUUUUUCUGUAAUUAUUUUCUUUGUGUUUCGAGAUUGGUAUAGUGGUAUCAUAUAAAGGCUUUGAGAUUGGUCACUGUGAUAUAUUAGACGUGUUUGCGGCCAUUAGUAACUACUCCCUCCGUUCCUAAAUAUUUGUCUUUCUAGACAUUUCGAAUGACUACUACAUAUGGAUGUAUGUAGACAUAUUUUAGAGUGUAGAUUCAUUCAUUUUGCUCCGUAUGUAGUCACUUGUUGAAAUGCCUAGAAAGACAAGUAUUUAGGAACGGAGGGAGUAAUAGAUUUCACCUUCUUGUCAUUUGGAGGGCUCCGUCAACAUCAACAACAUUAAUUAGUUUGAUAAAUUACAUCUUGGCAUUUAAAGGGCUCCGUCAAACAUUGGUGGGCUAGUAGAACCAGCAUGAACAUUCCAUACAGAAAAGCUAUGGCCUCGCCCGCGUCUUCCGGCACAAAAGUGUGCUGCCCACAAUAGUCCUAAACAUCAUCAUGGAGGAGGCCCAGCUAUGGGUCGCCACGGGUGCAAAGAAGCUUGGUAAAAUUGUAUUGCGCGAGUAAUUGUCAUGCAGUGUUGUAAGGGAUGAUUGUAGAACUCUAUUCUCAGACAAAUCUUUUGCCCCCAUUUAAAAAAUAUAUAUGUAUCACGCAGCAAAAGAACAAAUGUUGUUUACCCUGGAGAAAAUUACAGAAAUGAACAGGCAGUGUUUGUACUUUCUUUUAUUUCAAAGAGAGAUAAGCAUCAUUAUUAUUUUUUGUGUGUGAGAAAGGAAAGAUAAUAUUAUUUGAGUGCAAUCACCAUCUUCACUAACUACCUAUUUUUUUCAUAGUGUGUGAUGUAUUUUCAUAGUGUGCUGCCACCAUCUUCACUAACUACCUACUUUUUUAGAAACCACAAACUACAUAGUUUGUGCUUGGUUUUCACCUAGGCUGUUGAAUGUGACCUUGUAUUGAUGCCUAUGUCACCAACCUUGUAUUGAUGCCUAUGUCACCAACCAUUGUAAAUUUUCUACAUCGGAAAGAAAUUCUUAACAUGAAAAGUUGUGCAUGUCACAGUUAAAUAUAGAUGCAUUUAAAACUCACUUAGAAUGCGCUCAUGCUUGUUGCAUGAUAGAUGAUUCUCAUGCAUAGAUCGAACGGAUGCUAGUGGUACUGGAUCAAGCUAGUAACUCACUUAGAAGUUUGUUUUAUCACUCUCAUUUUUUUAAGCAACUUUUUUUUAGCAAACCACUCUCAUGUAUAUUAGGAUGAUGAGCUGGCAGCUCAAAAAAAAUAGGAUGAUGAGCUGGCGUCAUAGGUUUUUUUUAGGACUAGCUGGCGUCAUAGGUGAAGCCUAACAUGACACAGCCCAGGGCCCAGGCCCAGUUAAAACACGACCCAGCAGUUCAGCAGGUGCGUAAACGCUCUCCGAAGGCGGAGACGCCUCCUCCUCUACGGUUCUCACUCCUCUCCUCCGUGACCUCUCUGUCCAUGGCCGCCACGAGGAAGCUCGGCAGCUCGCCGGCGGCGGCGGCGGCGAAUGGGAAGGCGUAGGCGAAGGAAGACGACGAGGAGGGGCUCUUCUCCUCGCGCUCCUUCGCCGACCUCGGCCUCCACCCCACCCUCUGCGCCCUUCUCCAAGGUCCCUCCCCCUCUCCGAUUCCCCGUAUUUCUGUGGCCCUAGUGAUUUGGUAGUCCCCUCGGGAACCAGGAUCUCACGUCUUUUCUGAGAAAAAUAUGUACAUAUGAUUUUCAAAUUUCUAAUCUGGAUGGUUAAAAUGAUGUUCGUAGUUAAAUUUUUAAAAGUUUGACUCGAGGCAUGUCCAAAACUCCACUUUUUUGUGAUAUGGAGAGAGUUUGGAUUCGUGCAUAGGAACCUUGUUUAUAUUAAGUACAAUUGCUUCAAAUAAGAAAUGAGAAUCCUCUGAUCGUCCAUAUCGCCAGUUUUGAGGGAUGGGCAGUGCAAUAUUCUACUGUAAUUUACAGCGAAUCCAGUGCCCAGGUAUGGUAUUUCCACUAAUCGCAUGUCUUGUAGGCCCAAUACAAUAACCAAGUACACAUAGCUAAAAGAACGCCAGAUUCACUUACGGAACCCUUUGUUCAGAAAUUAAAUGGAGCGACAGAAGCAAAGUGUUGCACAGUUGCCUUUUGCUGCAUAUAUGGUCGCGUAGUUGCGCAGUUGGACCAAAUCAAAGCAUGUUGAAUAUCAACACUCAAAUCACCAUCCCAUCUUGUUCCAAGAUAUACUAGCAUAAAGUAGCGUUGCGUUGAGAAUCAUGCAAGUAGCUACAGAGGCGCUAAGUUGCCGAUAUGUUUGUGCACUUGAAAAACUGUUUGAAUCUUACUGAUCAUCAUAUGUUUCAUCAGGUUUCCAUUUAGAUAUAGCAUACAUCACUCUCCCUUUCCAUCCUUGUAGCAGCCAGCCGCAAUCUUCAACAGCAAAGAAUUCUUCAUGAUAAUGUAAGUUCUUCAUGUGUACUAUGUUCUUUAAGAUGGCCUGAUCCACGGGAAGCUGCUGGAACCCAGCCUUGAGGAACCUUCCUUGCCACUGCCUGUAACUCUCUGGCCUCUGAGUCCUUUCUGCAUCCUCACAUGCUAUUAUGUUAAGUGCAUCCCGCCCAAAUGGGAUCCUCUCAAGCAUCUUUCUUGCUUCACUAUCCCGUGGAAUAUUUGCAUCAAGCAUGUCAAACACUGAAGAGUAAUGGAGCAUAACUUCUUUGAAUCGUUGUAUGAAGAAGGGAGAACUAUGUAACACGUUCACAGUGCCAGAAAUGAAAACCUUUGGGUUCAUCCUCCUCAUAGUUUUCAGCACCUCGUCCCUUGCACUAUUUAUGCCAUCGGUUUCAUGACCAAGAUUCUUCAUCCGGAAUAUGCAGUUGAUUAUGAGAACUUCAUCCUCGUCAAUGUUAAGAUCCUCAAUUUUAACGCUGUCCCAUCUUGAAGCAGCAAUGCCCUGAUACUGAAAAGGUACCCUAAACAUGUUUGCAUAAUCAGCCAACCGCUUCCCUGUCUCCUCGAUCAUUUCGCAGGGGCGAAAACCUGGCUGAGCAACGUCUAUACCUGUGAUCCGAAGCGUAGGGGCUCUCUCUUGUUGCUGUGCAAACUUCUGAAUCAUUAAUGGCCACUGAAAGCCAUAGCCGAUGCCAAAAUCAAUGAUGUGCACCCUUGGUUGCCCUUUGGAGACAUCAAGAAUAGCUUGGCUCGCAAAGUAGUAUGACGUCCUGACAAAAGGGCAAGCUGCAACAAAAAGGCUGUAAGCCUCUAACCAAUCCGUGGGACUUGUUAGCCUCUCGAUGAGGGUGCGAUAAACCUGAUUCCCGCUCCCAGCCAAGCGUGCCUCAAGGCCGUCCGCCAAGUAAAAUGCCAGUCUCUGAGUGCAAUCACCAUCUGCUGAAGAGUGUUGUCUUAUCUUUAAUAGCAGUUCACUGGCCAACAGGUAGCUGCCUUCUGCCACAGCUUGUGCGCAAUGGAUGAGGAGAGUCCUGAGAUCAACCAACUCUUUCCUCGGUUGCAUCCUAGCCCUUAGCUUCUGACGGCCUUUGCUCCGGCCUUUCAGUGGGUUCUUGUUUCCUGUCUCUGCCAUCCUUUCUCGCAGUCUUGUUAUUUGAUCAAAACUCUUCCAACCAUAGCAUAGCAGAAAUCGGUCGAAAUUUUCGUUUCGAGUUAUUGCACAAGUGGUGAAGACAAGAUGUUUAUUGCUCCUUGCUUCCAAGAUAUCCCAGUUUUCGCUCCUCUGUCCUACCGUCUCCUUUAUAGUCAGUUUGGAAAUAGAAAGUAUGUCAUUCUCUAAAUAUAUCACCAGCUUACCAAUACGCGGAGCAAACAUCGUUGCCUCCUCGACAUCUCUCUGACAAUGGAAGGCAGGGAAACCAGAUCUAGAAGUCGGUCCAACACUUAUCAACGGACUAUUUUGUAGAGAAAGACUCCUAUUGCAGGUAUAUGGACUCAACAGGUUUGUCAAGGGCUGUAACACGCUGUAACUGGAACAGUUAUUACUGAAGCUUGUGCUCCAGAGCCUCUUGUAACAGCUGGUACCACUCUUAUCAGGGUUGUCUGGUUUGUUGUUGCUAUGCAUUGGCGGAUAGUUAGUAGCCGGCGCGUAUACCUCCCCAAGAAUGUCACGGAAUGGCUUCUCAGCAGCCUGGAGAGCAGCCUCCCCUUGGCAUCUGUUGACCCUCUCGUCGACCUCUUCCAUCAGCAUCUGUCUUAUGUAGUGAAGGGCAUCAUUUGAUCUGAUCCGGCGGUGCUCAGGGCUACCGCCUGCAGCAAUCUGAAAUUGGUCUUGUCCAUGGUUGCUGUUGACACUUGCUUGGUUGGCUGGGGAGAGAGCUGUGGAGUGUGGACCACUCAGGUCGUGGUUGUACACGGUAAGUUGUUGCUGGGAAGAGAAAUCACCCUUGUAUGAUUGGUUGGUUGCUACGACAGUCUUCAGAUUGUCACAGGGAGGUUCAGUUGCCAUUGUGGAAAGUCUGAUUUCCACCUCAAUAUGAGAUAUAUGAUGCUUCUUUGUCCCACAGCAAAUGAAUCAGCUUCUUUCCUGGACGAAGAAACAGGGAAAUGGAAACUAAAUUAUGUGAGACGAAUCACCUUGCUCAUGUCCUAUGUGAGACGAAUUAUGUGAGCAAGUAGCAAAAGUAGGGAAGCACACACCUUGGUUAUUAAGCAGGAGCAGCAGCAGCAGCAGCAUCAACAUCAGAUCCAAUGCUUAGAGAGAAGAGUAGCGAGGAUGUGGACUAUGAAAGAAGAGUAGUGAGGUUGUGGUGUUGAUGUGAGCUAAAAUUGUCGUUUCUCUACCUUAUGGCUUAGUUCCCAAUGUCAUGAGAUUGUGACGGAGAAUGGUUCAGAUUACAAGCAAUUAUUCUGUCGAUUAGUUCUAGGCCCGGCCGUGCACCAGACCUAUAAAAAGGGUUUAUUAGGAGCUGGCCUGGGUUUCAGUCAUUAUUAAGGUUCCUAAUUGUAUUGUUAAAAAAAGGAGAUGCAUAAUGAAAAUAGCACUUAGCUGGUAUUCAAGGAAAAAAGAAGGCACUAUUCAAUGAAAUUUGACAUAAAAAUGUCUUACACACACUGUGUUUUGGGACGGAGGGAGCAUCAUGGAAGUGGGUGUGGUUCUUUUGUUUUCUUUGAGGGGGAGGCGGGUCUAAUUUUUCAUGAGUGAGUUCUGGCGUGACCAGGUGGGCCUAACGUGACACGUCCCAGGGCCCAGGGCCCAGUCAUUAUUAACGUGUUGAAAGUUGUCUUAGUUGGAGGUCAGAAAAUGGAAGUUGCUUAUUUUAGUUGAAAUGUUAGAAUAUUUGCAGAAAUGAAACAUUGGGGAGGAAACGCACCUGCACGAAAUGAAAAAAAAAUACUGAUUUGAAAAUUACUAGGUGGAAAAUGUGUUGAAAGUUUUCUCAGAUGGGUCUACAAAAAUACAAGUUGACUAUAUUCUUUGAAAUUUGAGAAUAUUUCCAAAUAGGGAUGAAAAGUACUUGCCCCUAAAAAAUCUAAACAUUGGGAAUGAAAUGUUGGGGAGAAAAGAAAUACUGGGUGAAUUUUUUGUUGAAAGUUGUCUUAGUUGGAAGUCAAAAAAUGAGAAUUGUAUAAAUUUUGGUUGAAAUUUGAGAAUGUUUCCUUAAAGGAUUAGGGACGAAAGGUACCUGCCUAGAAAAACGAAAUAUUAGGGUGAAAAGAAAUAGUAGGUGGAAAUGGUAUUGAAAGUUUUCUAAGGUGGAUGACGAAUAAUAGAAGUUGUCUACAUUUUGAAUUGAGUUAAAUUCGUAUGUGAAAAUAGUUUCUAAUGAUAUAUAUUUUUAUAGCUACCAACAUCUCAUAUACUCCCUCUCUUCCAGUUUAUUGGGCUCAUCUUAGACCUACUUAGGUGCCAAACAACAUAUUAACACUACUAGUAGGAGGGACGUGCACUGCACGUGGUGUCCUGGUCGAACUGCAGGUAAGAUAUCUGUUGCUUCAUAAAAAAAAUCUCUGUUUACACGAUAGGUACUACAAAGUCAGCCACAUACGAUCUUGAAUGAGAAAACUUCUAGUCACCAUCACGUGAGGAUGCAAGGUGUGCGCAGUAGCCGUGCAGUGUCUCCUAUUGGUCCAGAAAAAUCCCGUCCACCUCGUUUUGGCGGGCUACUGGAUGGAGCGAAUCCCAGUGACUACAGUCGUUGGAUCACUCGAGUUUGCUAUGAUAAACGAUAGGGAUCCACUCCAUAGAAGAAAUCAACGGCUAAGAAGUGCCUCUCAUCAGGAUGGAUGGCUAAUCCCAAAUUCAAAAUUUAUUGUACUAUAGUAGUAGAGAUAUGCAUGGCCCUCUCACUCCUUCAUGCAUUGGUUUAUUCUAAAUUGAGAAUAAAAAUUUGACAAAAAUUAAUGUGGAUACAAUUAUAUUUGCAUGUUCCAAAGACAAUGAGCCUUACAAUUUGACUUUUUUGUUCAUGGAGUAUUAUUAAUUUUAUCAAUUAGCAAAGCCAACCUCGAAGAACGUACUAGGUGCUAUAUACUUGGAUGGAUGAGAGUCUAAACUUAAACACUUGCCAUGCAAUUCAAAUGUGCCUUUGAGAUUUUAGAAUUUUACUGGGUUGAGGCACAAGAUUUAAUGGAUGGAGGCCCGUAAAAUCUAACCCGAUUAAGGGAUAGAUCAGUAGGGACAUCUUCAUUCAUACUCGCUCUGUCCCAUAAUAUAGUGCGCAACGCAUAUUGGUUUUCAUGAAAGUCAAAGGUCAUAAAUUUUGACAAAAUUUAUAGAGAAAUUGAUCUUUCUUCGGUAAAGGGUGGAUUUUAAAUCAAAAUUCAAAACAUUGGUAAAGGUAAAAAUAACAAAUUCAACACUGAAUAGUAGAUGCCAUAAGUUGGGCUUUAGAUUUGGCCCAUUAUCACAUUGAUGUCAAAUUUAUCAUUUUUGUAUCUCAUGCAACGUUUCGAAUUUUCAUAUGAUAUUUUAUGACAACAUAUAUUAAUAUUGUGUCAAUGUAGAUUGUUUUCAGAUUUUUAAAGAUAUUUUAAUAUGCGCUACGGCGUCCGGGUGCACCGGUGCAGAAGAUACAUUCCGGGAGAAGGGUCUUAUUUUUCUGGAACUAGUGCAAUAUUUGUGUGUUAAUCAUGUGAUUAGUGCAAUAUUUGGUAUGAUAUUAAUUACAUGUUAAACACGUUUAACGCUCGUCAUUGGAGCAGUCUAGGUCGUUGGAUUGACUUAGUUCGAUGGCCGAGAUCAGUUGGAUCUGCCCCUUUGGAUUUUUUUUAUAUUGGUAUAUAGAUAUAGAUAUAGAUAUAGAUGAAUUCUGGCGUGAUCAGGUGGGCCUAACGUGACACGGCCCAGGACCCAGGCCCCAGGCCCAGUUAAAACAAGAACCAGGGUGCGUAAACGCUCUCUUCUAUCCUCCACGACCUCUCCAUGGCCACCAAGAGGAAGCCCGGCAGGUCGGCGACGGCGGCGACGCGGAGGGCCUAUUCUCCUCGCGCUCCUUUGCCGACCCCACACUCUGCAAGGUCCCUCCGACACCCCCCCCCCCNNNNNNNNNNNNNNNNNNNNNNNNNNNNNNNNNNNNNNNNNNNNNNNNNNNNNNNNNNNNNNNNNNNNNNNNNNNNNNNNNNNNNNNNNNNNNNNNNNNNNNNNNNNNNNNNNNNNNNNNNNNNNNNNNNNNNNNNNNNNNNNNNNNNNNNNNNNNNNNNNNNNNNNNNNNNNNNNNNNNNNNNNNNNNNNNNNNNNNNNNNNNNNNNNNNNNNNNNNNUCUAUGGCCCUGGUGGUUUCGCUCUCUGAACGGAACUCGUCCCCUAAUGUCGUCCCCAUCUUUUUCGAGAAAAAAACGAUGUGUAUGAUUUUCAAAUUUCCAAUCUGAAUUAUCAGAAUGGCAUUCGUAGUUUUAGUAGCAGAACUUUGCCAGAAGACAUGUCCAAAACGUCACCCACAUAGCUGUGAUAUGGAGACAGUAAUAAUAUGUGAACAUUACUGCAUUCUGUUGGAUUCGUGCAUAGGAACCUUGUUUAUGUUACUCCCUCCGAUCCAUAUUAAUUGUCGCUGCUUGAUUUUGUACUAGAGCAGCGACACGGAGGGAGUAAUUGCAAUUGCCGUCUCAAAUCAGAAAUGACAAUCAGUAUCGCCAGUUUUGAGAGAGAGGCAGUACAAUAAUAAUCUACUAUGUACUUUACAGCAAAAUCCAGUGUCUAGGUGUGGUAUUUCCACUAAUCUCAUCAUGUCUAGUGUGUUCAAGAAUUAAAUAGAACGACAGAGGCAAAGUAUUGUACAGUUGCAUUUUGCUGCAUAUGGUCGUGUAGUUACCAAGGUGCUGAAUGUCAACAUUCAAAUCACCAUCCCACCUUCUUCCAAGAUGGAACUUCCCAAUGCUCAUCAGACAAAAGAAUAUCUUACGCUGUUCAGCAAUUUAGACCGAUUGCGUUGAGAAUCACGCCAGUAGCUGAAGAGGCGGUAAGUUGCCGAGAUGUUUGUGCACUUGAAAAAUUGUUCGAAUCUUACUGGUCCCCAUAUGUUUCAUUAGGUUUCCAUUUAGAUAUAGCAUAAAGUACUCUCCCCUUCCAUCCUUGUAGCAGCCAGCCACAAUCUUCAACAGCAAAGAAUUCUUCAUGAUAAUGUAAGUUCUUCCUGUGUACUAUGUUCUUUAAGAUGGCUUGAUCGACAGGAAGCUGCUGGAACCCAGCCUUGAGGCACCUUGCUUGCCACUGCCUGUAAAUUUCUGGCCUCUGAGUUCUUUCUGCACCCUCACAUGCUAUGAUGUUAAGAGCAUCCUGCCCAAAUAGGAUCCUCUCAACCAUCUUUCUUGCUUCGUUAUCCCGUGGAACAUUUGCGUCAAGCAUGUCAAACAGUGAAGAGUAAUGGAGCAUAACCUCUUUGAAACGUUGUAUGAAGAAGGGAGAACUGAGUAACCCAUUCACGGUGCCAGAAAUAAAAAUCUUCGGGUUCAUCCUCCUCAUAGUUUUGAGCACCUUAUCCCUUGCACCAUUUACGGCAUCGGUUUCAUGACCGAGAUUCUUCAUCCGGAACAUGCAGUUCACUAUGAGAACUUCAUCCUCGUCAAUGUUAAGAUCCUCAAUUUUGAUAGUCUCCCAUCUUGAAGCGGCAAUGCCCUGAUACUGGAAAGGUACCUUGAACCUAUUUGUGUAAUCAGCCAACCGCUUCCUUGUCUCCUCGAUCAUUUCGCAGGGGUAGAAACCUGGCUGGGGAACGUCUAUACCUGUGAUCCGAAGCUUAGGGGCUCCCUCUUCUUGCUGUGCAAGUCUCUGAAUCAUUAAUGGCCACUGAAAGCCGAAGCCGAUGCCGAAAUCAACGAUGUGUACCCUUGGUUUCCCUUGUGAGACAUCAAGAAUAGCUUGGGUGGCAAAGUAGUAUAACGCCCUCCCAAAAGGGAAAGCUGGAAGAAAAAGGCUAUAAGCCUCUAACCAAUCUGCUGUACUUGUUCGCCUUUCCACGAGAUUGCGAUAAACCUGACUCCCGAUCCUAGCCAAGCGUGCCUUGAGGCCAUCCGCCAAGUAAAAUGCCAGUCUCUGAGUACAAUCAGCAUCUGCUGAAGAGUGUUGUCUUAUCUUUAAUAGCAGUUCACUGGCCAACAGGUAGCUGUCUUCUGCCACAGCUUGUGCGCAGUGGGUGAGGAGAGUCCGGAGAUCAACCAACUCUUUCCUCGGUUGCUUCCUACUUCUGCUCUGGCCUUUCAGUGAGGUCUUGUUUCCUUCCCCCGCCAUCCUUUCUUGCAGUCUUGUUAUUCGGUCAGAAUGACCAUAGCAUAGCACAACUUGGUCAAAACUUUCAUUUCGAAUUAUUGCACAAGUGGUGAUGGCAUGAUGUUCAUUGUUCCUUCCUUGAAAGAUAGCCCAACCCCUUGGGUCUGCCACCUCAAAAAUUGUGUUUUCGGUCCUCUCUCUUACUUUUUCCUUCGUAGUCAGUUGGGAAAUAUAAAGUAUGUUAUUCUUUGAAUAUAUCACCAGCUUAUCAAUACUUGGAGCAAACAUUCUUUCCUCCCUGACACCUCUCUGGCCAUGCAAGGCAGGGAGGCCAGAUCCGGAAGUCAAUCCGACACUUAUCGAUGACUGGUUUGGUAUAAAAGGACUCCUAUUGCAGAUAUAUGGACUCAACGGGGUUGCUAAAGGCUGUAACACGUUGUAACUGGAAUAGUCAUUACUGAAGCUAGUGUUCCAGAGCCUCUUGUAACGAUUGGUCCCACUCUUAUCAGGGUUGUCUGGUAUGUUUUUGCUAUGCAAUGGCGGCCAGUUAGUAGGCGGCGCGUAUCCCUCCCCAAGAAUGUCACGGAAUGGCUUCUCAGCAGCCUGAAGAGCAGCCCCUUGGCAUAUGCCGACCCCCUCGUCAACGUCUUCCAUCAGCAUCUGGCUUAUGUAGUGAAGAGCAUUGUUUGAUCUGAUUCGGUGGCGCUCAAGGCUACCCCCUGCAGCAAUCUGAAAUUUGUUUUGUCCAUGGCUGCUGUUGACACUUACUUGGUUGGCUGGGGAGAGAACUGUUGAGUGUGGACCACUCAGGUCGUAGUUGUGCACGGUGAGUUGCUGCUGGGAAGAGGAAUCACCAUCGUAUGGUUGGUCGGUUACUGCGAUGCCAUCCAGAUUGUCACGGAGAGGUUCAAUUGCCAUUCUGGAAAGUCUGAUUUCCACAUCAAUAUGAGAUAUAUGGUUAUUGUUGUCCAACAGCAAAUGAACCGGCUUGUUUCCUGGAAGAAGAAAAAAGGGAAAUAGAAGCUAAAUUAUGUGAGAUGAAUUUUGGUUCACCUUGCUCAUGUGCUACCAUCUAGAAUGCCCGUAAAACAGAGUUCUGCUUCUUCCUUUUUAUUUGAGAUUCAGCUUAUUAUUGUUUUGGCAUGCCUUUCUGAUCGAAAACAAAUUCCAAAGGCUUGCAGACACGAGAAUGAGCCGGUUAAACGUAGAAUCUAUGAUGCGCCUAAUACCACUGUUCCUUUUUAUUUGCAGGAGGCUCCUCAUCUGAUCUGAGCAAAGAGGCAAAGUAGGGAAGCACACACCUUGGUUAUUAAGCAGCAGCAGCAACAGAUCCAAUGCUUUGAGAGAGGAGUAGUGAGGGUGUGGACUAUGAAAGAUGAGUAGCGAGGUUGCGGUGUUGAUGUGAAGUAAAUUUGUCGUUCCUCUACCUUAUAGCUUUGUUCCCAACGUCAUAAGAUUGUGACAGAGAAUGGUCCAGAUUACAAGCAAUUACCCUGUCGAUUAGUCCUAGGCCCGGCCGCGCAUCAGACCUAUAAAAAAGGGUUUAUUAGGAGCGCUGGCAUGGGUUUUCAAUCAUUAUUAAGGUUCCUAAUUAAAUCGUUAAAGAAUCCAAGGUAAUCAAAAAAAGGAGAUGCACUAUUCAAAUAUUUUUUCUUUCUUUUCUUUUCCACUUGAUAAUUGAUAUAUAUAUAAUGGUAUUGGUUGAGUCUUUUUAGAGGAUAAUUUGUUGUACUUUAUCUUAUUAAAAUAAUUAGAUUUUUUU
rnacentral:lncRNA from 1 species